rnacentral:sRNA from 1 species
AGGAAACAUAAAAAACUAAAAAUAGUGUUUACUUGUCUACCAUAGAGACAAGGAUGGGAGGGAGACUUCAUGGUAUAACUUUGUAUACUUCCUGGUUUUUGAAACAUGUGACUGUGUUACCUAUUCAGAAAGUUAAAUAAAAUAGAACAUAGAUAUGAGAUAUAGUUCUGCUAUUCAGUAGUUGAGUGAACUUGGGCAAGACACUUAACCUCUCUGAGUCAUAGUUUUCUCAUUUAUAGAAGGGCUGUAAUAGUAGUAUCAAGCUCACAGGAUUGUUCUAAGGAUUAAUGAAGGACAGGAGGAACAGAAAGUGCUGAGCAGAGUGCUAGCACUUAGUAAAUACUCAGUUGAUUGGUCAUGACUUGUGUUACUGAACUUAAUCUUGGUAAUAAGUGAGUAUGUUCUUGAAAGGACACCAGCCUUGGCUAACAUUCCUUUGCAGAACCAGACGUCCUGGGUCCUCUCCAGCAUGGCAGCCCUCUACUGGAGGGUGAAAGGCCAAGGAAAGAAGGCAAUCGACUGCCUCCGCCAGGCUCUGCACUAUGCGCCACACCAGAUGAAGGAUGUGCCCCUGAUUAGCCUGGCCAACAUCUUGCACAAUGCCAAGCUCUGGAAUGACGCCGUCAUAGUAGCCACCAUGGCAGUAGAGAUCGCACCACACUUUGCUGUGAACCACUUCACUCUGGGCAAUGUCUACGUGGCAAUGGAAGAAUUUGAAAAAGCACUGGUGUGGUAUGAAUCCACAUUGAAGCUUCAGCCCGAGUUUGUCCCGGCCAAGAACCGAAUCCAGACCAUCCAGUGUCACUUAAUGCUGAAGAAGGGACGGCGCUCUCCUUAGUGCACUUCUUCCUUCUCUCUUUCUCUUUACUCAUGCUCUAAAAAAAAAAAAAGAAUAAGAAAAGAAACCAAUCAUUGUCAGUAUCUACUAUUAAUGAUGUGUGUGAAAAUAACUAAGACUUAUAACAGGACUUUUACACAUGUGGGAAUUGGUUUGUUUUUGUUUUUAAGUUUCUCCUUUCCC